rnacentral:misc_RNA from 1 species
AAGUCGUAACAAGGUCUCCGUUGGUGAACCAGCGGAGGGAUCAUUAUAGAGUUAUUAAACUCCAAACCCAUGUGAACAUACCUAUUGUUGCCUCGGCAGGUCGCAGACUGCUGGGAAAGGUCCCCUACCCCUAGCGCGGGGGGCCUACCCGGGAGCUGCGGUCAAGCCUGCCGAUGGCCCGCAAAACUCUGUUUAGCAUUGAAAUUCUGAAUCAUAACUAAAUAAGUUAAAACUUUCAACAACGGAUCUCUUGGUUCUG